rnacentral:rRNA from 1 species
CCUACGGGUGGCAGCAGUGGGGAAUAUUGCACAAUGGGGGAAAGCCUGAUGCAGCAACGCCGCGUGAGUGAAGAAGUACCUCGGUAUGUAAAGCUCUAUCAGCAGGGAAGAGAAUGACGGUACCUGACUAAGAAGCGCCGGCUAACUACGUGCCAGCAGCCGCGGUAACACGCAGGGGGCGAGCGUUAUCCGGAUUGACUGGGUGUAAAGGGAGCGUAGUCGGUUUUGCAAGUCUGAAGUGAAAGCCCGUGGCUUAACCGCGGAAGGGCUUUGGAAACUGGGGAACUGGAGUGCUGGAGAGGUAAGCGGAAUUCGUAGUGUAGCGGUGAAAUGCGUAGAUAUUAGGAAGAACACCGGUGGCGAAGGCGGCUUGCUGGACAGUAACUGACGUUGAGGCUCGAAAGCGUGGGGAGCAAACAGGAUUAGAUACCCCUGUAGUC